AUUGAACGCUGGCGGCAGGCCUAACACAUGCAAGUCGAGCGAGCGGCGGACGGGUGAGUAAUGUCUGGGUAACUGCCUGAUGGAGGGGGAUAACUACUGGAAACGGUAGCUAAUACCGCAUACCCUCAGAUGUUCCCAGAUGGGAUUAGCUAGUAGGGCGGGUAACGGCUCACCUAGGCGACGAACCCUAGCUGGUCUGGGAGGAUGACCAGCCACACUGGAACGGAGACACGGUCCAGAUUCCUACGGGAGGAAGCAGUGGGGAAUAUUGCACAAUGGGCGAAAGCCUGAUGCAGCAAUGCCGCGUGUGUGAAGAAGGCCUUCGGGUUGGAAAGCACUUUCAGCGGGGAGGCGUUACCCGAAGAAGAAGCACCGGCUAACUCCGUGCCAGCAGCCGCGGUAAUAC
rnacentral:rRNA from 1 species